rnacentral:piRNA from 2 species
UGCCAGGGGAUGAAAUCCAAGUGUC